rnacentral:lncRNA from 1 species
AUUGGAGUUUGGUGGAAAUGUUGGGGAGUCGCGUGCAGUUGGGACGCGGGCAUGGGGAGGAUCGCGUUUGCUACGCCGAUAAGGCCCGGUGGAGCCGCCACAGCCACCAACGGCACUACCAGCAGAGUCCAUGGAGGUCUUCAAGCACCUCCGCCGCCGGAACUUACCCCGCCCCUUCCUUUGCUUCUGGGAGCUCCGCAGAGGCUGUUGUGUCGGUCUCCGGCACCCGUGAGCAAGAGAACCGAGCAGGAACAGAGAAAGAUACUCCGAAGACCGGGAUCGCGUCCGUUUCAUCUUGGGGUCCUUCUGUUGCUCAUUCUUGUAACUUGAAACGAUUCUUGGAGUCCAUAACUCCGUCCGUCCCGGCGUUGUACCCUUCCAAGGUUUAGAAAUUUUCCUCCUUUCGGUUGUUGUCGCUUUGGGAUUCUUGGAGAUUGACUGACUUUGAUUGGCUUGCAGAUGGAGAAGAGGGGAUGGAGGGCUUCUGACCAGGAGUGCCGGCCGUACUUUGCGCUGGCGGAUCUCUGGGUCUCGUUCACGGAGUGGAGCGCGUAUGGUGCUGGCGUUCCGCUGGUUCUGAGCGGAGCGGGCAGCGUGAUCCAGUACUACGUGCCUUACUUGUCUGGAAUCCAGUUAUAUGGUGAAUCGAACAGGCCCUUUUCUGAUUCUAGGUAUUAGUGUUUGCCGGAUGCUUUCUUUCUAAUAUAUCUCGGUCCACAGAAUUUGACAUGAACGACUAAUUUGUUUCUUUGUAUAUUUUCUUACUACAGCUUUUGUUUGCCACCCUAAAGUUCUGAAUGUUCCUUGAUGCAUUGCUUCCUUGAUACGUCUACGAUGGCUAUCGUGUCGUAAUGUUCUUAGCUUAUAAAAACUCCUUUUACUUUUCUCGGUGGUAUAUUUUGCCUUGUUUGUAUCAUCUGUCAUAAAAGCGUAGGAUUUGUUGAACAUAAAUGGUUUCAAUAAGAACCAAUUGUCAGUUUAUCUUUGCUUACCUCUAUCUCAAUGGUUCCGAAUAAUAAUUUCUUUGGAUCGGUUUAGCAUCAAACCUGAUGAGGGCAAUUAUGGCGAUUGGACUCGGGUGACAUCAACACCCCCGGAUGACGCCCCCCCGCCUCAGUCGACUUGACAGCACCUGGCUAAAACAGACCGGAACGCCAGCAGAGGCACAUUAACUUCUUGCACAAGCUCGAUACCUCACGCCACGCCUACACCGGUGUCAGACGCUACCAGGAGUACGAUCCUGCUCCCCUCGAGCAGGCACCUCAGACAGGUAACAUUCGUUAUAAGAACCCUCUCGUCGAGGAGAAAAGGGAGAGGAAAAUUCCUCCACUACCAUUGACUGACAUGAUCGUCGGAGGGGUCGGGCCGAGACCCCUGACCCGACCUGUCUGCAGGUGCGAAGACGGAGCAACCCCGCUAGACGGCCAUCCCGGGAAAGACAAUCGUCCCGUCGCCGACCGCGCGUAACAGAUCCAUCCAACUCGACGGACUCCCAGGCCUCGCCGGAAGAUCCCCUCGCAUUCCGACCCGAACCAAGCCGUGCCGACCCUGAGGCCCGGCUUAAAGUUGUUGACACCAACAUUUUGGCGCUAGAAGGAGGGUCGAAUGUCGAGUGAGCGGCAGGUCGACUUGGAUGAAUCGACGGCUGAAGGGUCGUACCCGAGAGAGGCUCCAGGGGAACACCCCUCGUAGGGUGAACCUAGAGAUGAACACCCCGCCGCAACCUCCGAACGUUACUGGCGGUUAUUCAACGACCCGGGCUUAUCACCACCCGAGGGUCCCCUGGCCGACCCGUCGCCCGUAUCGUCGGAGGCUUUUCAGGAUCUCGCUCUUCAAGUUCGAGCGCAGACGGGUAUGGUGCAAACCCUCAUCUUACUCGUCGCUCGUCCGGAGCGCACGCUUGCGAUCCAACCACUGCGGCAACAGGACCCGCUAGCCCAGGCUCACGCGCCGCCUCCCGAGGUACCAACCUCCCCUCGGGUCGGGCCGACCCCGCCCGGGGAUUGAAUGACAACACUCCCGAGGGGCCGCCCGGAACCCGAGGUAUUAUCCUCGGACUCGACAGACUCCCUGCGAGCCCAAGUGUGUUUCGUCAGUCGGCGGCUCGACGAAGUUCAGCAGGAGGUUCGCAGGUCAAAAGGGGAGCUCGGCGAGGAGGCGCACCGGGGGUCCCCGUUUGUACCCGAGAUACAGGAUCAAACGAUCCCCCCGAACUUCCGGCUCCCCUCUCUUGAUGCGUACGACGGCUCCACCGACCCGGCGGACAACGUAGCGACUUUCCGCGCCCAAAUGGCACUAUAUGGGACCUCUGAUGCCUUGAUGUGCAGGGCGUUUCCCACAACUUUGCGAGGGUCCGCUCGCGUGUGGUACAGCGGCCUUAAGACUGGGACGAUCACCUCCUUUGAUCAACUCGUCAGAGAUUUUGAGUCCAACUUCCUAGCUUACGCCUGGCCGAAGCCCUCCGUCGCUCUGCUCCUCGGGCUCAACCAGAGGGAGGACGAGCCCCUCUCGCACUUUGUGAAUCGUUUUGCUACGCAAAUCUGGGGGUUGCCGGACGCUCACCCCUCUCUAUUGAUACAGGUGUUUAUGGUAGGCUUGCGACCCUCCAGGUUUUUCUGGUCACUAGUAGAACGACCCCCCGCUGCGGUCCCGGAGAUGCUCCAGCGGGCGAGCCAGUUCAUGGCGGCAAAGACCUGGAUGGUCGGGAAGCGGGACUAGCACAAGAGGGUCAGAUCAGAGCCGUCCCGCGGACAACAGUCCGCCGCACCAAGGCGCAGAUUGGACCGUCCUGACCUAUCGUCAUUGAUGUCUCAAUUCCCUCUUUGGGUGCGUCCCGGACGGAUAUAUUUCUUCAGAUUAGAGACAAAGGGUUACUCAGGACUCCCAACCCGAUGAAAAAUCCGUGGGAACUAGCGGAUCGGUCGAAGUAUUGUCGUUUUCAUCGGCAAACCAGGCACGACACUGAGGAGUGUCGGGAGUUGAAGCGGCAGAUCGAGGAGCUCAUCCGCAAAGGGCAUCUCGGUCGACACCCCCAGCAAGACAAGGAGCUCUCCCCCCGCCCUGAAGGACCCGUCGAGCGUCAGAUCGAUGUGAUCAUUGGGAACCCUACCAAGAUCAAAGACGGUGAUGCCCACCUUCCUGGUAGUCGACCUCCCCACUGCAUAUAACGCCAUCCUUGGUCGACCAACCCUCAACAAGGUCAGGGCCGUCAUCUUCACUUAUCACCAAACGGUCAAAUUCCCGAUCCGCGCCGGAGCUGGGGAAGUCAGGGGAAGCCCCCGGGAGUUCAGGCAGUGCUACCUGACGGCGGUCUCGCUUCACAAACGAGCGCGGACCGAGCAACCCCCGGGGGACCCUAGGGAAAUGAAGAAGCCAGCCCCACACCCUGAACCAACGACGCCUACUUGUGACGUGCCACAGAUGAAGGGCCGGCCGGAUCGGACGAUCCGGAUUGGGUCGGAACUCCCCGAACAGGAACGGGAACAGCUCGUCGGCUUCCUACAGGGAAACGCCGACGUCUACGCCUGGUCGCCCUCCGACAUGACGGGCGUCGACCCGAAGACCGCUCAACACUACCUGAACAUAGCGCCCGAUAGACAACUGGCUAUCCGAGAAGAGGUGGAGUGACUUUUGGCAGCAGAGUUCGUGGAAGAAGUCAAGUACCCUCAAUGGCUGUCCAAUGUAGUCCUCGUAAAGAAAUCUAAUGGGAGCUGGAGGAUGUGUGUUGACUACACCAGUCUUAAUCGCGCGUACCCGAAGGACUGUUACCCCCUCACAAGGAUCGACCAAUUAGUCGACGCGACCGUCGGGCAUGCGCGCCUUUCGUUCAUGGACGCCUUCUCUGACUACAACCAAAUCAGAAUGGCACCCGACGACCAGGAGCACACGGCCUUCCUCACUGAUCGGGGAGCGUAUUUCUACAAGGUCAUGUCAUUUGGGCCAAAGAACGCAGGAGCUACAUAUCAGAGGGUCGUAAACAAGAUGUUCGCCCGGCAGAUCAGGCGAAACGUUGAAGUCUACGUCGACGAUAUGAUCGUGAAGAGCCGCGCGACGGUAAACUACCUGACGGAUUUGGCUGAAACAUUCACUGCCUUACGGAGACACGGCCUGCGGCUCAACCCUGUGAAGUGUGCCUUUGGCGUCGGCUCAGGAAAAUUCCUCGGAUUCCUCAUCCACGAGAGGGGAAUCGACGCUAACCCGGAAAAGGUUCAGGCGAUCAUCAGCAUACAAACCCCCCGGACAAUAAAGGAUAUACAACGGCUCAACGGGAGGCUUGCUGCCCUAUCUCGGUUCCUGUCUCGGUCUGGUGAUCGUUGCCUACCCUUCUUCCGGGCCUUGAAAAACCCGAGGAGCUUUCAAUGGACGGAGGAAUGCGAGAAGGCCUUCAUACAUGUAAAGCAGCACCCCGCCAGCCUCCCUCGCCUCCCCUCAGUUUCUCCCGGGGAGAAGCUUAGUGUCUAUCUGGCCGCCUCCCGGAACGCAGUUAGCUCCGUCCUGAUUAAAGACGCCACCGGUGGGCAACUACCGGUCUACUACGUCAGCCAUGUCCUGAACGGACUGUUAGAACCCUUGCAGAUUCUAAACUUGGGAUUGAUCUCUUUAGGGGAUCGGCCUUCUUGGAACUCUAUAGGAGUUCCUCCCUCCAAGUUGCUGCUCAAAGGCUGCAGAAAAGAUUCAUCUAUUGCUUAUGAAAAAAGGAGGAAUACAUGGCUAUUUAUAGGGUUUCUAAACCCUAACUCCUAAUAGGACUCCUACUAAAGACUCUUAUUCUUUUACAACUCCUAAUUCUUCUCUAAGAAACAACCUCCUAACUUUAGCCGGCCUCUUCACCUCUUUAAUAGGGGUCGGCUUAGGUAGGUUUUACAUGAAUGUCCCUCUCAAUUAGGACUCUCCUAGCUAGAGUCCUAACAAACCCACCCUCUUCAAAUCAGCCUUGUCCUCGAGGCUGACGAUUCAUGAAUUCUGGAAAUUUGAUCUUCAAGUCGUCAUAGUUCUCCUAAGUGGCAUCUUCUGUUGGUAGGUUCGCCCACUGUAUUUGCACUUCAGUAGUGGGUCGUCGUCAUUGAGUCACAAUCCGUCGAUCAAUAAUGGCACUUGGCUGGGUUUGGAGUUCUCCUUGAGUAGUCAUAUUUGGUGGGUGGCUUUGGGCUGUCUCCAAUCACCUAUUUACAACUUCCGUCUGACCAUCGGUUUGUGGGUGAUAUGUCGUACUCCUUUGCAAUUUAGUACCCUUCAUAUGGAAUAACUUUGUCCAAAAUCCGCUCAUGAAGAUGCAAGUAGAAUUUGUCACAAGCACAAUGCGUCCUUUAUAGCGUAAUUCUUUUGAGUCUCAAUUGUAAUGAGCCAUGAAACUUGGUGCUUCCUCCAAUUUUUUCUUUAUCUUAUUGGUCUUCGAAUCUUCCUACCAUUCCAUCUUAAUAUCUUCAAGGAAGUCGUUGGUCAAAAGUGAAACGGCCGAAAUUUCAGCUUGCUCGGAUAGCUACGAAGGCGUAUCUGCAAUAAUAUUCUCUUUCCCCUUUUUGUAAGUUAUUUCAUAAUCAAAUUCAAGAAGUUUUAUUACCCAUUUUUCCUGCUUAGGGGAUGAUAUCUUUUGCUCCAAAAAGUACUUGAGGCUUUUAUGAUCGGUUUUAAUUUGAAAUCGUCGACCGAUCAAGUAGGGUCUCCACCUCGUUGCUGCGUGCACAAUGGCGAGCAUCUCCUUAUCAUAUGUUGAUAUAUUUUGAUGGGAGGGAGACAAUGCCUUGCUAGUGUAUGUGAGUGGUCGACUAUCUUGCAUGAGAAUGGCUCCAAUUCCGACUCCAGAUGCGUCGGCCUCAAUAAUGAAGGGUCGGCUGAAAUAUGGUAGUGCUAGCACCGGCAUCGUCGUCAUGGCUGGCUUAAGUUUGUCGAAGGCGGCGGAGGCUUUGUGGUUGUAGCAUGUUAAACCCAGAAAGCCAUGUAGCAAUUUUAUGUUCCUCGGGGUCGGCCAGUUUUGCAUUGCUUCUAUUUUGGAGGGGUCCAUCAUCACACCUUCCUCUGAUAUGAUAUACCCAAGAUAUUCCACCUUUUGUUGAAGAAAGCAAAAAUUCGUAGUGGUCGUUGUGUAUUCGAAAGGCGGUUUUCGGUAUGCCUUUUUCGCACACUCGUAUUUGAUGAUACCCGGAUCGAAGGUCCAGCUUUGUGAAGAUUUGUGCUCCCUUUCAUCUAGCAAUUCAUCUACUACUAGUAUAGGAUAUUUGUCCUUGACGGUUAUGCCAUUGAGAGCUCGGUAAUCAAAACACAAUCGCCAUGUUCCGUCCUUUCGUACGAGGAGCACCGGUGAAGAGUAGGGGCUGCAACUUGGCUGAAUAACUCCUGUUUCGAGUAUCUCUUUUACAAUCCUUUCUAUUUCAUCCUUCCACAGAUAUGAAUGCUGAUAUGGCUGAGUAUUUGCAGGAGGCUUGCCCAGAAGAAUCGGUAUACAAUGAUCAUGCCGACGAGUAGGAGGUAGGUUGCACUGUUCGUCAAAUAUAUCUGAAAAUUCAGCAAGCAAAGGAAGUAGGUUUGGACUUUUAAAUUCUGUUAGCUUUCCCUUAGUUUGCUGCUCGAGUUGUACCACAAAGCCGCUGCAUGCCUUAUGCAAAACCUUCUCCAUUUGUCGUGUGCAAAUCGUCGUUACAUUGCCCCCAUGUUUCCCGUGCAGUAUCACUUGUUUUCCCUUACUGUAAAAUUUCAUAAUUAGUUUCAUAAAAUUCCAGGAAACAUCACCUAAUGUCAUCAACCAUUUAAUUCUGAGCAUGGCCUUAUUAUCGUCAAGAGGGAGGAGGAAGAAAUCUGCAAUUAUCUCGUGGUCCUGCAGCAACAGUUUCACCUGCGGGCACCUACGAUCACACUUCAAAAUCCACCCGUCGGCAACCUUAAUGUCAAACCUGUUGCAAUUCUCAAUAGGUAAGGCCAUCCGGACAACAACCUUACUAUUUAGGAAGUUAUUAGUACUGCCUGUGUCGAUGAGAACAGUGAUCGAUUGUUGUUUGAGAAGGCCUCCAACUUUCAUCGUUUGCGGGUUUGAGUAGCCGGCUAGCGCGUGUACUGUAACGUCGGUCAGUUGUGGCUCUUCUUCCGCAUCUUCUUCUUUAUGUUCAAUGCUCUCUUCUGAAUAUUCAAUGACGUCUUCUUCUACUGGCUCAAUCGUAAGAAGUCUCCCUUUUCUACAGCGAUGCUCGUGGCUCCACGGCUCGUCGCAGUGCCAACGUAAUCCCUUCACAUAUCGCUCUCGAAGCUCUUCUCUUGUCAACCUUUUUGGUGCAGGGACUCGGUCGAUAGUAGGGGGGGCUGAGGGCUUCAAUAUUCUUGGUCGAUGAGCAACCCUAGUCCUCCGGGCUUCAUGGUUCAAUCGCUCCUCUUGAAAUCGUGCGAAAGAGAUGGCUGCCAUAAGCGUGUAUGGUUGUCGCGCUUUAACUUCUCCCCGAAUCUCUGGCUUUAAGCCCUCCAUGAGUGUGUUCAAACCAGUCAAACCAUUGUAUGACAUCUCCUUCAAGAUGUAUAACUGCAAUUUUCACCAUAGAUGCGUCCGCGAUUUUUUGGUACCGAAAAUAUCGCUCUGCGCGCUAGAUCCAACCAAUCAAGUCUCUUUCUUCCCAUCUAGGAAAGUCCACCCUCAUGUGUGGAUAGUUGGGGUUGGUUAUAGAGCAUCCCCUCUCUUGGAAGUCAUCUCUUCGGGCUUGGUACGAUUGGGCAAAGCUCUCUCCUUGAUGUGAUUUCUUCGGGCUUAGUGGUCAGCCCAAUCUGAGUUCGGUAAAGAGCAUCCGAAUCUUAUCCUCCAUUCGUGCCUCCAAGGCUUCGAAUUUAGCAUUCAUUGCCUCCUUAGAUACCAUAGUAUAUGCCUCCAAAUCUGUGAUGUUAAGAUCUUUUUUUUGUUGUUGGGUUAAAGGCUUGUAUAGGUUGAGAGAAGUGAUGAUCGAAAGGGUUGGUGGAUUGGUAGAUGUAGGCUGCUGUUUAGGCUUGUUUUGUUGCUAUUUUGGGUGCAGUUUGAGGGUGUGGUUUAGUAGAGUUUUAGGGCUAUAGAUGAAAGUUUUGGAUCUAUGGUAGAUGACAGCAAAGGUUCGAUAGAAAUCAGUGGAAGUUGCUGCAAAUAUGUGUUGUCUUAUAAGAGCAGAAUUGUUGUCGAAGAAACAAUGGUUUCUCGAUGAAAUUUUCGCCAAAAACUUAAGAGCUUUGAGGAGGGAAUUGAUAGAAAUAUCUCAGUUUAUAUGACAGCAAGGAUGUCCAAUUUAAUCAAGAAAAUUUCGACAGUAAUAGCAAGAAAAUUGGUGCAAGUUGUGAUAGAAGAAUUCUCGUCGAAAAAUUUUAGCGACUUACGACAAAAAUUUGUAGCAACACAAAAUCAUUUUUAGAGAUAAAUUCCUCAAUAGAUCAAUCUUAGAUGGAAGCCAAGAUGAUCUAUAAAGCGUAUAAGAAAUUUCAUUCAAAAAAGAUUGCAAAUUGAUAGGUUAAGGCAACAAUAUGCGGCUGAAAGUUUUUGCAGCACAGAUUUUCGAGUGUAGCAGAUUGGAUGUAAAAGAUCAGUAGUUUAUAUUAAGAAUUUUUCGACAAAACUAAAGGGAAAUCCACUGUUAGGAAGUGUCAAAGCUAUCAUAAAAAUUUCGUAGAGAUUUAGACAGAAACAAUGUAGUAUCAAGAUCAAACAAACAGUGCUAUGCGGCUGAAAUUUUACAGUGCAGAUUUUCAAGUACUGUAGAUUAGACGUAAAAGAUCAAUGGUUUAUAUUAAGAAUUUUUUGAUAAAUCUAAAGGAAAAUCUUCUGUUAGGAAGUGUCAAAGAUGUCAUAAAAAUUUCGCAGAAAUUUGGAUAGAAAAAACACAGUAGCGAGAUCAAACAGACGGUGCUAUGCGGUUGGAAUUCUGCAAUGUAUCUUUUGUCGUAGAGAUGAAAACUUUACGAUAAAAAGAUUAUGCAGCAAUAUAGGAACAAAUUUUUUUUUGGAUUUUCGAAUAAGGAUAAUUAAAUUACAGCAGCAGUAAGGUAGGAAACCAGAACCUGUUGCAAUUCACGGGGAGAUCAAAAGAUGAUCUGCAGUGGUGGAGAUGACGAUGGAAUUUGGCGACGAUCUUUUAAGCAAUUGUAGGAAUUGCUUUGGGCGGCUGUGGAGGGUUGAUGGAUGGUUGUGGAAGGGCAGCGAGAUGCCAAGAACGCUGCUCUGAUACCAGGUGUUAGAACCCUUGCAGAUUCUAUAGGGGUUCCUUCCUCCAAGUUGCUGCUCAAAGGCUGCAGAAAAUAUUCAUCUAUUGCUUAUGAAAAAAGGAGGAAUACAUGGCUAUUUAUAGGGUUUCUAAACCCUAACUCCUAAUAGGACUCCUACUUCUAACCAANNNNNNNNNNNNNNNNNNNNNNNNNNNNNNNNNNNNNNNNNNNNNNNNNNNNNNNNNNNNNNNNNNNNNNNNNNNNNNNNNNNNNNNNNNNNNNNNNNNNNNNNNNNNNNNNNNNNNNNNNNNNNNNNNNNNNNNNNNNNNNNNNNNNNNNNNNNNNNNNNNNNNNNNNNNNNNNNNNNNNNNNNNNNNNNNNNNNNNNNNNNNNNNNNNNNNNNNNNNNNNNNNNNNNNNNNNNNNNNNNNNNNNNNNNNNNNNNNNNNNNNNNNNNNNNNNNNNNNNNNNNNNNNNNNNNNNNNNNNNNNNNNNNNNNNNNNNNNNNNNNNNNNNNNNNNNNNNNNNNNNNNNNNNNNNNNNNNNNNNNNNNNNNNNNNNNNNNNNNNNNNNNNNNNNNNNNNNNNNNNNNNNNNNNNNNNNNNNNNNNNNNNNNNNNNNNNNNNNNNNNNNNNNNNNNNNNNNNNNNNNNNNNNNNNNNNNNNNNNNNNNNNNNNNNNNNNNNNNNNNNNNNNNNNNNNNNNNNNNNNNNNNNNNNNNNNNNNNNNNNNNNNNNNNNNNNNNNNNNNNNNNNNNNNNNNNNNNNNNNNNNNNNNNNNNNNNNNNNNNNNNNNNNNNNNNNNNNNNNNNNNNNNNNNNNNNNNNNNNNNNNNNNNNNNNNNNNNNNNNNNNNNNNNNNNNNNNNNNNNNNNNNNNNNNNNNNNNNNNNNNNNNNNNNNNNNNNNNNNNNNNNNNNNNNNNNNNNNNNNNNNNNNNNNNNNNNNNNNNNNNNNNNNNNNNNNNNNNNNNNNNNNNNNNNNNNNNNNNNNNNNNNNNNNNNNNNNNNNNNNNNNNNNNNNNNNNNNNNNNNNNNNNNNNNNNNNNNNNNNNNNNNNNNNNNNNNNNNNNNNNNNNNNNNNNNNNNNNNNNNNNNNNNNNNNNNNNNNNNNNNNNNNNNNNNNNNNNNNNNNNNNNNNNNNNNNNNNNNNNNNNNNNNNNNNNNNNNNNNNNNNNNNNNNNNNNNNNNNNNNNNNNNNNNNNNNNNNNNNNNNNNNNNNNNNNNNNNNNNNNNNNNNNNNNNNNNNNNNNNNNNNNNNNNNNNNNNNNNNNNNNNNNNNNNNNNNNNNNNNNNNNNNNNNNNNNNNNNNNNNNNNNNNNNNNNNNNNNNNNNNNNNNNNNNNNNNNNNNNNNNNNNNNNNNNNNNNNNNNNNNNNNNNNNNNNNNNNNNNNNNNNNNNNNNNNNNNNNNNNNNNNNNNNNNNNNNNNNNNNNNNNNNNNNNNNNNNNNNNNNNNNNNNNNNNNNNNNNNNNNNNNNNNNNNNNNNNNNNNNNNNNNNNNNNNNNNNNNNNNNNNNNNNNNNNNNNNNNNNNNNNNNNNNNNNNNNNNNNNNNNNNNNNNNNNNNNNNNNNNNNNNNNNNNNNNNNNNNNNNNNNNNNNNNUGUCCCUCUCAAUUAGGACUCUCCUAGCUAGAGUCCUAACACGGACCUGAGGAGCGGUACCCGCCAAUUGAGAAACUUGUUCUGGCGCUCGUGCUGACAGCUCGAAAGCUGCGCCCCUACUUUCAAGCCCAUCCUAUCGAGGUAAUCACCGAUCGGUCGCUCCGCCAGGUUUUAUCUAAAUUCGACGUUGCAAGUCGGCUCCUCAAAUGGUCGGUGGAACUUGGCGAGUUCGACAUACAAUUCGUCCCGAGGACCGCCAUCAAAGCCUAAUUCGUAGCCGAUUUCAUAUCGGAACUGGCUCAAAUUGAGGAAGAGGGUCCUGAGCAGCUCGGGGAGUCAUGGGCUCUGCACGUGGACGGAUCGGCUACCUCGAGAGGUGCGGGGCUGGUGCUAUUAGCUCCCGACGGUCGCUCGUUCGAACACUCACUCCACUUCGGGUUCCCGACUACCAACAACGAGGCCGAAUAUGAGGUGCUACUGGCCGGACUCAGGCUGGCCCUCGAGAUGCAUGUGAAGUCCAUUCACGUCCUCACCGAUUCGCAACUGGUGGCCGAGCAACUCGGCGGCGGAUACGAGGCCAGAGAACCUACCAUGGCAAAGUACCUUGCAGAGGUAAAAAGCCUAGCCUCUCACUUCUCUCGCUUUUUGAUAUCCAGGGUGCCGAGGACCCAAAACCAACGAGCUGAUGAGCUGGCCAAACUGGCCUCAAGGUCUGAACUCGAGGUCCAGCCCAAGAUCGAGUUGCUCCCUUCCCGAGCCAUCUCGACCUUGGCAGUGGCUCCGAUUGACGGGCAAACUACGUGGGUACAGGAGAUGUUACGCUUCAAGCGGGACGGGAUCCUCCCCACUAACGAGGCCACGGCUCGUCGCAUGCGCCGUGUGCAAUCUUGGUACUCCGAGGUGAAUGGAUGGCUCUAUAAGAGGUCCUUCUCAUACCCCCUCCUACGGUGCCUCGAACCCGAGGAGGCUCGGUCGGUUCUGGUCGAGGUCCACGAAGGAAUUUGCGGGGAACACAUCGAUGGGCGAACCUUGGCGUACAAAAUCCUCCGCCAGGGGUACUAUUGGCCCACCAUAUCCAGAGACGCGAGACAUUACAUGCUACGGUGUGUCUCGUGCCAAAGGCAUGCCCGCACGCCCCGGCAGCUUGCGGUUCCACUCGCCCCUAUUGACAGUGCGUGGCCAUUCGCGCAAUGGGGGUUGGACCUACUCGGGCCUUUUCCCCCAGCCUCGGGACAGCGACGAUACAUUGUCGUGGGGGUGGACUACUUCACGAAGUGGGUUGAGGCCGAGCCGUUAGCAACGAUCACGGAACACCAAGUGGAAAAAAUUGUGUGGAAAAAUAUCAUAACUCGGUUUGGCCUGCCAAAGACCAUCAUCACCGACAACGGCACCCAGUUCGCCAGCGCGCGAUUCCAGGAGUUCUGUGCGAACUACAAGAUACGAUUGAGGUACAGCUCGGUAGCACACCCCCAGACGAAUGGCCUAGUAGAGGUGACCAACCGUUUCAUCCUAAGCGGGCUGAGAAGAAGGGUGUCUAGGGCCCGAGCGGCUUGGGCGGACGAGCUCCUAAGCAUUUUGUGGUCCUUGUGGACCACCCCCAAAACCGCGACCGGAGAAUCUCCCUACAGCCUCGCGUUCGGAACCGAGGCCGUCCUGCCACCGGAGGUGGUCUUCCCCACGAUUCGAACCGAGAACUAUGACGAGGGGACGUCAUAUCAAGGAUUACUCGCCGGUCUUGACUUCCUCGAGGAACGGCACGCGGAUGUGCAUUUGAAAGACCUCUCCUACAAGAGAGCCGUCGCCAGGAUCUACAACCGCAGGGUACGACCCCGACCGAUCAAAUUAGGUGAUCUAGUCCUACGCAAGGUCGAGGUCAGCGAGCCGACCCGAGCGCGCAGUAAGCUCGCUCCCAAUUGGGAGGGACCCUAUCGGGUUAGCAGCGUCGUCAGGGACGGCACGUAUCGGCUCGCAACCAUGCAAGGUUGCGUUCUGCCGAGAACGUGGAACGUGCAAAACCUUAGGAAGUUUUAUGUAUAGUUGGAGACAAAACGGUCAAAACAGAAACCUGAAACAAAAACCUUUUAUUCCGAAUAAAAGCCAGGUUACAGGGUCGGGCAAAAUACAAGCGUCAACCGACGCCAGACCAAUCCCCUAAGAGACCGUUAUAGCCUUAUAUCCUAUCCUUUGGGGGCUUCAGAGCUGUCGUCGAAGGGGACUUCAUCUGGCAUGUCGACGCUUGCGUCUUCGGGGCAGGAGGCAAAGGGGUUUUCUUCGACCUCCGAACCGGGGUGGCGCGCCUUGAAGCGGGCCAGGGCGACCCGGUACCCGCAUUCGUACGUGAUCUGCCCCGACCGGACCAAGCCGAGCUGAAAGCCCGAGGACUCUUUAUAGUCCUCGAUCAGCUUCUUGUCCCUCUCCGGACGCUGCUGCAUCUCGGCAGCCAGAGCUUCAGAAGCCCUCUUCGCCUCGGCACGCGCCUCCUCCAACUUCUGAGUGAGGGCAACCGCCUCUUUAUUGGCCAAACGAACCUCGGUCCGUGCCGUCCUCAGGAACGCUUGGAGAUCAUUAUUCCUCUCCUCCGCCACUUUUACCUCGGAUUUCAGGCGGGUCCCCUCGGCCUCCAAAUCCGAGGCACGCUGCUCGGCAGCCUGUACCUCGGACUUGAGUCGCGUGACCUCCGCCUCCAGAUCCGAGGCACGCUGCUCGGCUGUCGCGACCGCCUCCGAGGCCGCCUCCGCGUGCACCUCCUCUAUUUGCCUUCGCAGCUUGACGUUACGGUCGAUCAAAACACCGAGUGCCCGACCUGCGUCACGCACGCGAUCCAUCAACGCUGGUGCAUAAUGCUGACGCUGCAAAGAAGUAGAGUCAGGACAACUGUGGCCCAGGUACAAAAAGGAACCCAAUAACAAGGUACUUACCCACAGCAGGGACUUUGCAGACUUGCUCAGCAAAACAUCCGAGGGCAGGACAUACAGUUCCCGAGCCAUAUCGGGAUGGAGCCCCCCUCGGACAAAUAAGGCCGCAGCCUCCCCGUCAGCCCAUACCCGGUCCCCGCGGGUCAGGCCCGUCCAUCGGGCCGCCAACGGGUCGGAGGGUUGGCCCUCCGGAAGUUCGCCCAUGGCCCGAGCUAGGUAAGGUUCGCCCGGUGCUCCCGAAGGGAGGCGACACAAAUCGCGGAUGGACGACUCCUGAGGCGCCUUCCCUGUCGCCUCCCUACUCGGGCCGGCCUCGCCCUGAACGAGGUCCCGUCGCCGGUCGCACCCGACGUGCUUGGUCGCUCCAUCCUCCGGCUGCGCCGACGGCAUGCUCGGUUUUCUUUUGAUACCGGUCUUCGCCUUCUUUUGAGGUCGACCGACCUCAAGUUGAACCGGCGCCUCCCUCGAGCCAACCCUCGGCUCGGCCAAUCGACACGGCCGACGAGGAAGGCCCCCCACGCACGGCGACGAGGUUCACCAUUUCUGCAUGAAAACACCGACCUCGAUCAGAAUACCAAGAACGCGAUUUCUGGAAAGCCCUAACACUACCCACUACUGGCAUACCUCGAGGCAUCGGGCUAAGACCCGCCUCGACCAACCACGCCUCGGUCAUCCUUCGAAUGACUUGGGAGGUCGGGAGUAUCUCCUUUAGACGGCGAAGGUCCCUCCGCUCUUCGUCGUUCAGGGUCGGGGCAGUGUUGUCGAUCGCGCGCGCGGCCCACCGGAGCCCGAAGCUCUAUCCCUCUGGACGAUAGACAUAAAAGAAGUGCUCCUUCCAUCCCUUGUUGCUGGAAGGAGCCCCGCUAACCCAAAAGCCUGGCCGAGCGGACAAAUAGUAGCCCCCCGACCCCUUGGAAAGAUGAAAACAGGAGAGGAAAAGAGAUCGGGUUGGGGUAAUAUGAGCGUAAUGGCACUCCCCCAGGAACGCCACCAAAUAUCGCUAGGAAUUAGGCGCUAUCUGCGACGGAGAAAGACGCCACCACGAGAUGCAGUAACUUAUAACAGGGUGCAGGGGGAGGCGUAAACUCGCCUCAAGGGCGUCUAUGGUUAGGGCAAAACCCUUCGGGAUAGGGUCGUGUGCUCCUCGGCUGCAUGUUGCCCAAGACCGCAAUCUCUGCGCGGCUUGCCCGCCUGAGUUGUGCUCCUCGGUUGCAUGUUGCCCGAGACCGCAACCUCUGCGCGGCUUGCCCGCCUGAGCUGGGCUCCUCGGCUGCAUGUUGCCCGAGACCACGACCUCUGCGCAGCUUGCCCGCCUGAGUUGUGCUCCUCGGCUGCAUGCUGCCCGAGACCGCAACCUCUACGCGGCCUGCCCGCCUGAGUCACCCCCCUCGGUCGCACGCUGUCCGAGACCACCGUGGCGUCGGCCCAGUCCUCAAGUAUCGAACUCCGUGGUCUCCGCGCCCCCAAUGAACGACCGGCAACCGCCCGGUGGGGAUAAUCUCUUAAAACUGAAGCCAUGCCUCGGACCCCCCUCUACGACCGACGCAUAGCUCCUUCGGGGGGGAAUAUGACGAGGGCAAUUAUGGCGAUUGGACUCGGGUGACAUCAGCACCCCCGGAUGACGCCCCACGCCUCAGCCGACUUGACAGCACCUAGCUAAAACAGACUGGAACGUCGGCCGAGGCACAUUAACUUCCUGCACAAGCUCGAUACCUUACGCCACGUCUACACCGAUGUCAUACGCUACCAGGAGUACGAUCCUGCUCCUCUCGAGCAGGCACCUCAGACAGGUAACCUUCCUUAUAAGAACCCUCUCGUUGAGGAGAAAAGGGAGAGGAAAAUUCCUCCACUACCAUUGACUGACUUGAUCGUCGGAGGGGUCGAGCCGAGACCCCUGACCCGACCUGUCUGCAGGUGCGAAGACGGAGCAACCCCGCUAGACGGCCAUCCCAGGAAAGACAACCGUCCCGCCGUCGACCUCGCGUAACGGAUCCAUCCAACUCGACGGACUCCCGGGCCUCGCAGGAAGAUCCCCUCGCAUUCCGACCCGAACCGAGCCGUGCCGACCCCGAGGCCCGGCUUAAAGUUGUUGACACCAACAAAACCCUAUAUUGUCUUACAUUCCUAAAGUAAUUUCAAUAAUGAGUGAUACCAUUUCAGCAAAUGCAACCUCAAAAGCAACUCAAAAUUGGUUAUUUUUAGUAUUUUCCUAAUAAAAAUUAUUGGUUUUGUUUACUGUUCGACAUGUAGCAUCGUAAUAAUAACUAGGUCACUGUGCAUUUAUUUGGUCUGUUUAAAUUGCUUUUUUUCCUAAAAUGCAGAAGACACUUUUCUGGUAUUAUCUUUUAACUACUUAAGCUCUAAAAUUCUAUUUGGAGAGCUUGGGAAAAUGUUUAGAUUGGGGAGCCAGCCUUGCGGGGAGUCAAGUGUGUGUGCCAUGAAAAUGAAAAGCAGUGUAUUUGAAGCAGAUCAGUCUCUUGAUGCUCAUAGCAGGGCCUUGUUGAAUAUGAUCUACAGGACUCAGCAUGGACUGUGUUUUAUGUGAUUUACAUUCUUUUUUUAUGAAUCAAAUUUAGCUUUUUUACUUGUGAUUUGAUCCAUUUAUUUUGAGAACUAUGUGGGAUAGAUUGCAUAUAUGUUUUGUGGAUUAAUUUUUACUUUGUAUUCGGUGUCUUGACCAUGAGGGUGGGCCUUGGUACAACGGUAAGAUUGCUCCUUUGUGAUCUGGGAGAUCAGGAUUUAAGUCAUGAAAAUAAUCUCUUUAAAUAUUUAAACGAAAGAUUGCAUAUAUUGAUCCUCUCUAGAUCCCGCAUUGGCGAGAGCUUCAUGUACAUGCUCUCAGAACUAUAAAAAAUUUCUUGCAGUUAAGGGUGGAAAGAGUUAAAUGAAAAUGAUGUGGCAUUUUCUGCAUCAGUCAAAUAAUCUAACUUGAGGUAUAAAUUGAAACCUUUGUUGGUGGAGAAAAAUUNNNNNNNNNNNNNNNNNNNNUGGAUAAAUUAUGUUUGAGAGAGAAACAUGGGCAUCAGCAAAAGGGAUCAUCAAGUGGUGAUGGAGAUUUUGGACAUUUUCGAGGUCACUUGCUCUUUGAGUUUCUUGAACAGGAUCCACCAUUCAUUCGUGAACCUUUAUCUGAUAAGGUGUUUACAUCUUGUUUACACAAGUAAAACAAAUUCGAUUUUCUGGUCUUGUUUGUGAUGUUUAUUUAAGUAUGUUCCUUCAGAUUUCAGAUCUUGCACGGUGUUUCCCUGCAUUGAAGUCCCUUCGAAGUUGUGAUCUUUUGCCAUCCAGUUGGAUAUCAGUUGCAUGGUGAGAUUCAGAUCGACUGAAAAAGUAUUUGAAAAAUAAAUAUUGAUUUUGUGUAGCUUGCUUGUGUUUAAGGUAUCCUAUAUAUCGAAUUCCUAAUGGCCCUACAUUGAAGGAUCUGGAUGCUUGCUUUUUGACCUUUCAUUCUCUUUCCACACUGAUGAAAGGUAACUAUCAUCUUUUGCACUGUCUUUUAUUCCUCUCCUUACUAGAUGAACAUGUACAAAACAUUAUGCUUGAAAUAAAUAUGGUCUAAUCAAAAUUAUGUUUGUUCUGGCUUGACGAUUUUGUCCUAAAUUGAUGUGGAAUGCUGCUACUUGGCAUUGUUGUUUUGACUUUUAAAUGUUGCAAGACAAAUUAUUAAGCAUACUGAAAAAUUAUUAAGCGUAAAUUUUGGUCGACUUCACCUCUUUGCACAAUUUAUCAAUUGAACAAGCUUAAUUCGGAGAUUAGCUAAUCAUCUACCUAUAAUAAAUGGCUAGCUAGUGAUAAUUUGCAUCUUAGUGAAGCCUCAUUCAGUCUAUGCUCAAGCUUAAUUCAAGGUUAAAUGUUGAACUUGUUUCAGGGUUGUCGGACUUGGGCUCAAGCAUACGUAGAACACGUUAAGAUUUGUAAUUCCAAAAGCACUUUUGUACAUUCUCACCAUGCACAAACCAAUAUUUACGUGCAAAUGACACCACAAAAGUCACUCGAAGUACUUGGCAAAAACUACUGCUGAACGAGAGCUUCCAAGGCAACAGUUGCACCCAAAUCAGAGAGGCCAAAAGCUGCAGCAAACGACGUCCUUCUCUUUGCCCCUCUUCUUGCUCGCUGCUCCGCCUGUGAUCUCAACGGACCUUACCUCGGGCUUCUUCAUCUGCCGCUUGGGCACUAUCAAGGUGAGCACCCCGUUCUCGAUGGAGGCCUUCAUCUCAUCGGCCUUCGCAUCCUCCGGCAGCCGGAACCGCCUGUAGAACCUGCCGCGGCUCCUCUCCGAGCAGUGCCACUCGCACUUCUCCUUGUCAUCGAUCGGAUCCCCGCUUCGCUCGCCGCUUAUGGAGAGGACCCUGCCGUUCUCCACCUCCACCUUCACGUCCCCCUUUCUGACCCCCGGGAGGUCGGCCUUGAAGACAUGCGCCUCCGGGGUCUCCUUCCAGUCCAUGUGGAUGUCGUCUGCGCCGGAGUCAUCCGAGGGAAAGCCACGGAGUGCAUCGAAGAUGUUGCUGUGACGACCCAACAACAUGUUGUGGACGAGAGACAUAUUAGAUGCUGCUGCUGCGUCUGCUUCUUGAAGCUGAGAUAUGUAGCAAACUCCGGUGUCCAAAGUGAGGGUGGGAGUGUAUUUAUCGUUGGCGAUAGAUCAGUCCUUCAUCUGGAAGUGUCUCAUUGGUUGCUUCCAGCGUGGUAUUAUAUCUAUUCCACUAAUAAACGAGACAUUGGUGCUCCGGGCGUUUCGAGAAGCCUCUACGCCUUUCUUGUCAUGUCCACGUAGUUUGGGUGGGACCAGAUAGACCAAGUAAGAUAAUUCUUUGGAUGAAAUCUUGAUCGUCGAAAGAAUUAUUUAUUAAUAUUAUUAUGAUUUGAUUGAAAUCAAUCAAUUCCAAACCAAUUAUUUUAAUUUUAAAUCAAUUAAAUAUAAUAAAAAAAAUAACACAUAAAACAUUGUACCUUAGGAGGUUAAAUCUUUAUGUCUAAAAUCAAUUAACUUGGAUUUGAAUCUUCAAAUAACCAUUUAAUUUGAUUAAAUUUUCAUUGCACUCGUCAUAAUUAUAUGCCUAUUCUUUAAAAUUAUAAUUUUUAUAUUUAUAAUUAAAUUUAAUUAAAAAUAAAUAAAAAAAACAAUUCUAAUCAAAAUCGAAACCGUUCGAACCGAUCCUAAUUUUUUAUAAUUUUAUUUUUAAUCAAUUUUUUUAAAUCAUUACACUCAUCAUAUAUUUUUUAAAAUUUUAAAAUAAAAGUAUUCAUUUUUUUCUAUUUUAAAUCAUUUUUAAUAAUAAAAAAUAAAAAAAAAAUUAACGACUCUGAUCGGAACCAAAACCUUCCGAACCAAUCGAAUCGACGGUUUGGUUCCUAACAAUACGAAUCCGAAUCAAAAAUUAUUCUGAUGUCAAAAUCGAUCGUUCUGGAUCCAUCCACGAUCACGAUUAGGUACAAGGCCAGAUGCAUGCACCGGUGAAGACUUACCGCUGGAUUCAGUAUCGAUUCUGUGGGCAAGACGGGAUAAGAAAAAUUAUUAUUCUGGGUACCUAACGAUUGAUGAUGACACAUCAGGCGGCUUAAAACAAAAUAAAGAAUAGAACAGAGGUGAAAUAUACUGGAAGACUUGAGCACCUUCCAGAAUCCGCCUGCCGACCUUGACCAACGACUUAUUGCCUCGGCAUCGACGCUAUAAAAUACUCAUCGUCCUUAACUCACCAAGAACAAGGAAAAGAAAUCCACAGCUUAGCAACGCAUCCUACGCUACCACCAGAAAUCCUUCAAAGGCAUUUGCAACCAUGCCGAUCGUGAGGCGCAGCAACAUCUUUGAUCCCAUCUCUGUCGACGUUUUCAACACCUUCCCCGGCUUCGCGAGCGAAACCUCCGCCUUCGCCAACACCCGCAUCGACCGGAAGGAGACGCUCGAUGCCCACAUCUUCAAGGCCGACCUCGCCGGGGUGAACAAGGAGGAGGUGGAGAAACGCAGGGUCCUUCAGAUCAGCAGCGUGCGGAACGAGGAGCAGAAGGAGAAGAACGACAAAAGGCACAGCGUGGAGAGGAGGUUCCGGCAGUCGGAGAACGAGCAGGUUCUGGCUCGGCGUACGGUGCGAUGUCAUUCCGGGUUUACCGAGUCCGGUCGUGCCGUACAGAGACUUGAGAUUCGUUUCUCGUGUAAUGUGACGUAUAGCAGUAGCCGUGACGUGACGUGUUCUGAGGGCACAGUUGAGAAGCCCGACGGCAAGUCCCUAAGGAGGAAGGAGGAAGUUAAGGAGCCCGACGGCAAGUCCCUAAGGAGGAAGGAGGAAGUUAAGGAGCCCGACGGCAAGUCCCUAAGGAGGAAGGAGGAAGUUAAGGAGCCCGACGGCAAGUCCCUAAGGAGGAAGGAGGAAGUUAAGGAGCCCGACGGCAAGUCCCUAAGGAGGAAGGAGGAAGUUAAGGAGCCCGACGGCAAGUCCCUAAGGAGGAAGGAGGAAGUUAAGGAGCCCGACGGCAAGUCCCUAAGGAGGAAGGAGGAAGGAGGAAGUUAAGGAGCCCGANNNNNNNNNNNNNNNNNNNNNNNNNNNNNNNNNNNNNNNNNNNNNNNNNNNNNNNNNNNNNNNNNNNNNNNNNNNNNNNNNNNNNNNNNNNNNNNNNNNNNNNNNNNNNNNNNNNNNNNNNNNNNNNNNNNNNNNNNNNNNNNNNNNNNNNNNNNNNNNNNNNNNNNNNNNNNNNNNNNNNNNNNNNNNNNNNNNNNNNNNNNNNNNNNNNNNNNNNNNNNNNNNNNNNNNNNNNNNNNNNNNNNNNNNNNNNNNNNNNNNNNNNNNNNNNNNNNNNNNNNNNNNNNNNNNNNNNNNNNNNNNNNNNNNNNNNNNNNNNNNNNNNNNNNNNNNNNNNNNNNNNNNNNNNNNNNNNNNNNNNNNNNNNNNNNNNNNNNNNNNNNNNNNNNNNNNNNNNNNNNNNNNNNNNNNNNNNNNNNNNNNNNNNNNNNNNNNNNNNNNNNNNNNNNNNNNNNNNNNNNNNNNNNNNNNNNNNNNNNNNNNNGGAAGGAGGAAGGAGGAAGUUAAGAAGCCCGACGUGAAGUCCAUCGAGAUCUGAGCUCUGAUGCAUGCCGGAGAAACCCAUAGCUGAGCUUGCGACCUAUCCAAAUAAGUCUCUGUGGCAGUCGAGUGAGUGUGUCCGUCCUAUGUCUAAGUGUGCUAUUUGGUUCGUGUCUUUCUGUGUCCAAGUAGUCGGUCGACUUUGGGAACUCUGCAUUGCUCUCGCGGUAAUAACGUUUGUCAUGGAAGUAUUUCUUAAUUAAAUACGAGUCGGUCUAGUUCAUCCGUUUCAUAUGUUUCAACUUCGGGAACUCUGCCUUGCUCUCGCAGUGAUGACGUUAGUAAUGGAAGUAUUCCUUAAAUAUUAGUCGUUUCAUAUGUUUCGACAUGAAGAGAAGUAGUAACCAAAAUGAACAGAUAAGAAUGACCAACUGGCUAACAAAAACAACAUCAUCAUCAUCAUUCUGCAUACUUAUCUUCUUCCAUUGUGCGUAAGACGUGACGCACCGCACAAUCCACGAGAACGUGACCCCGCAAGCUUAUCUUCUUCCAUUGUGGGUAAGACGAGACGCACCGCCCGUUUUCCUCUGUCCGUUUAUCAUAUAUUCAAAGGGCCGUUGCGACGUGCGAGACCCUCUCUCUUGACCCUCUGUUUCCGCGAUCAUCGGCGAAACUUCGCAACCCUCUCUUGACCCUCUCUUUCCGUAUUCAAAGGGCCGUUGCGAAGUGCGGGACCCUCUCUCUUGACCCUCUCUUUCCGCGAUCAUCGGCGAAACUUCGCAACCCUCUCUUAACCCUCUCUUUCCGCGAUCAUCGGCGAAUUUUUCUCGAUCUACUGCUUGCUGCUUGUUAGAUUAUAUAAUCUUAUUUAAUUAUUAGAUCUACUGUUUAUUGUUUGUUAGAUUAUGUAAUUUUAUUUAAUUAAAUAAGAUGUAUUAUAUAUAUAAUUGAAUUUUAUAUAAUUGGAUUAUGAUUAUGAUUAUGAUUAUUGAUUAAUAGAAAAGAAGUUCAAUUAAAAUAGGAUUUUUUAAGAAAUAAUUUUACAGAUUAUCUGGUUCUCUUUGCAAAUCCUUACAUAUUGAUAUUUCAGAUCCGAUGACAGAUCAGACGAUGGAGCGUUUGUAGAUCAGAUAAAAUUUAUUCUUUUGAACAACAAGAAAGAUAUACAUCGUAAUAUAUAUAUUAGAUCUAAUAAGAUUUAAUUAUAGUUUUGACAUAAAAAAAUUUUCGUAUUACAGAUAGCAUGAUUAUAGAUUUUAUACUUACAAUUGGUAUUAGAGCCAAAUUCUUAAGAUCAAAUAUAUUAGAUCUAUUAUUUUUAUUUAUGUUUGAAUGAUUCGUCGGAUAUAUUUGAUCGAUGAAUUUACUGUUUAUUAUCAUUGAUGUUAUUAAGACGAUCAUCCCUGUUGAUCGUUGUCGAAGGGUCGAGUACCGUCGCGCAUCACGGUCGUACGUAGGCAACAGUCCGCUUGCUAGCUGUGCCGGCACCACGGGAAUCCCGCACCGCUUGUGAACGCGAUGCCUGCGGAAGGGCAGUGGCCGCAGAUGGUGGCAGCCGCUGCCCUCGUGGACAGAGGGCAACGGCAGUGGUCGCGCCGAGGCGGUGGUCAAGCGCGGGCAAGAACCGUCGCAGCGGCCGCUCAUGGGCAGAGGCAGCCCCCGCGACGGCAACGGUCGCACGCUGGCAACAAUCGCGGCCAGUCGUGCGCACCAUCCACAGGCAGGAACGGCCGCGGGCGAGCAGCGGAUGCGUCGCACGCGCAAGCGACGGCGACAAGGCAAAUUAGGGUUUUUGGCAUAAUUAUGAUUUUGACCUCGAGGCUAGAUUUUUACAAAAUUAUAAUUCUGCCCUUUGCAAAUUUAGUAAUUUCAAUUUAUGUUCUGCCAACAUAUUUACAGUUUUACCUUCGGAUUUAAUUUCUAUCAAAUUAUAGUUCUGCUCUUCAUAAAUCGUAUAUUUUUUAUUUAUAUCCUAUCAAAUAUUUAUAGUUUUAUCAUUAUGAAAUUGAGAAAUUUGGUUUAUAUUCUCAAUUAUAAAAUUGAUAAAUAUGAUUUAUUAUAAUUAUGAUUAAAUUUAAUCAUGAUUAUAUUUUUGAUUAUUUGAUUAGAUUUAAUUUUGAUUAAAAAAAUUAUAAAUUAUGAUUUACUUUAUAGUUUUCUCAUAUGAAUUAUUGAUUAUACAUGUGGUAAAUAAAAUCCAAUUAUUAUUCUUGAAUAUUUAUUUAAUUAUUCACACGUAUACAUUUGAAAUUGUGAAAUAAUGUUCAUCAAGGCAAGCAUGAUUUAUAUAUUAUCAUGAUUAUCAUAUGAGUUUUCUUUUAUUUAUUAAUGUUCAAUAAUUAGUAUGGUUAUUAUUUUAUUAUUGAACUGCUUAGUAUUAAUGUUCAAUAAUUAUUAUGGUUAUUAUUCUAUUAUUGAACUAUUUAGUAUUAAUGUUCAAUAAUUAUUAUGGUUAUUAUUCUAUUAUUGAACUACUUAGCAUUAAUAUUCAAUAAUUAUUAUGGUUAUUAUUUUAUUAUUGAACUACUUAGCAUUAAUGUUCAAUAAUUAUUAUGGUUAUUAUUAUUUUAUUAUUGAACUGCUUAGCAUUAAUGUUCAAUAAUUAUUAUGGUUGUUAUUUUAUUAUUGAACUACUUUGCAUAAAUUAAAGAAAUUUGAUGAAUAUUAUUUGUAAUUCAUCUUCAUAAGUUUUAUCUGACUUGUAGCUGCUAAAGUGGCCUAGGAUGAUAGAUUUUUAUAAUAUGAAUUAUAAUAAAAGUUUUAUCAUUUAUAGGACAUUUUAGAUUGUAUUUUAUAUUUUUGUAUUGGUUCUAUAGUCACCAAAGUGACUUGGGUCAAUAAUUUAUAAAAUAUAUUAUAAAAUUAGUCCUAAAUGAUAUUAAAUAAAAUAAUAUUCGUAAUGGCAGCAUGAAUCAGGAUAAAGAAAUUUAGUGAAUAUUAUUUAUAAUUUAUCUUCCUAAGUUUUAUCUGACCUGGGAUGAUAGGCUUAUGAGAUAUGAAUUACAAAAAAGUUCAUGUCAUUCAUUAGAUAUUUUAGAUUGUAUUUUAUCUUUUUGUAUUGGUCUUGUAGCCACCAAAGUGACCUGGACCAAUAAUCUAUAAAAUACAUUAUGGAAUUCAUCCUAAAUGAUAUUAAAUAAAAUAAUAUUCACGAUCGCACAUAUAAUUAGGAGAUUUAGAUAAUCCUAAAGGAGAAUCUAUUUCAAAUAAUUAUGUAAUUGGGUAGAAUGAUACUGUUUUGGAUAUUCUUACAAUUUAGGGUUGUAUACCCAAAUGUAACAAUAUCAUUCCACAAUGAUAGUAUCUGAUAGGGGUAAGAACAGAUUUGACGUAACACACUGGAUUUGACGUAAUACACCACGACGUCAGCCACCCCUGGACGGCACACUGCCCUAGGGGGCGAGCCUUAACACCAACAUAAUGUGCUCCCUCACUCACCGUACCCAAACGACCUCAUCAUCUGACCUCGCCCGACCGGCCGAGGCAAGGGAAGGCGUCGACUGAGGCUCACCAUACCCUGCGGCAGCUCGACCUUCCACGCAACGCCCACGACGACGACAGGCGCCAGGAGGUACGGCCCUGCCCCGGUAGGGUGGCACAUCAGGUAAUAUCGAACUCGCCUAUAAAUACUCCCGGGCUCCAAACGAACAGAGGAGGAAGAGAGACAACACAAAAACACCCUCAAACCCCCUUACAACCUUCUACUGACUUGAUCGUCGGAGGGGUCGGGCCGAACCGCCGACCCGACCUGUGUGCAGGCAGUCGACUGAAGUCGAUCCAACCCGGCGUUGCAGAACUUUCCAGCCAGACCCCCGCAUUCAGCCACCCUAAGAUCCCGAGAAGAGUCAUGCCUGAUCCCAGCCAUUCGGACCCCUGAACCAGCCGCGUUGAUCCCGAGGUCACGGCUAAAAACGUUACUUACCAUAACAGAUUGGUUCUAGAAGGAGGGCCCGUCCGAAUGUCAAGCGAUCAGCGAAUCCACCUUGGCGAGCCCUCAGCCGUCGGGCUCCCCACCCCGAAGGAACACCCCCCGCAUGAUGAAACCCGUGACGAACGCCCCGCAGCGGCGUCAGAACGUUACUGACGAUUAUUCAAUGACCCAGGCUUGUCACCUCCCGACGACGCACCCGCCGGCCCAUCGCCGGUGUCACCCGAGGCCUUUCACGACCUCGCUCAUCAAGUCCGAGCCCUGACGAGCAUGGUGCAGACUAUCAUCCUGAUCGUCUCCCAGCGGACCGCUCCGCAUACGACUCGGCCUUCGCAGCAACAGGAGACCCUCGUCCGGACUCACGUACCACUUCCCGAGCUCCCUGGCUCGCCUCGAAACCCGAUAACUCGGCCCGGGAGCCGGGAGGCAGAAGACACGGCGAGCCGCCCCGAGCGCGAGGCUCCGUCUGCAGACUCUACAAAUGCCCUACGAGCUCAGUUGCGCCUCGUCAGUCAAAGACUCGACGAAGUACAGUAGGAAGUUCGUAAGUCAAAAGGAGAGCUCGGGGUAGACGGACAGCAAGGAUCCCCAUUCACCCCCGAGCUCCAAAAUCAGGCGAUCCCGUCACACUUCCGCCUCCCUUCGCUGGAUGCGUAUGACGGCGCUACUAACCCAGCGGACCACGUGGCCGCUUUUCGCGCCCAGAUGGCGCUAUACGGGACUUCCAACGCCCUGAUGUGCAGGACGUUCCCAACAACCUUACGAGGGCUAGCCCGCUCGUGGUACAGCAGCCUGAAGGCCGGGACCGUCGCCUCCUUCGACCAACUCGCCAAAGAUUUCGAGCUCAACUUCUUAGCUUACGUUCGACCAAAGCCGUCCGUGGCAUUGCUCCUCGGACUGAACCAAAGGGAGGACGAGCCCCUCUCCCAUUUUGUGAACCGCUUUACGACGCAACUUCGCGGGCUAUCGGAGGCUCACCCCUCUCUGUUGAUGCAGGCAUUCAUGACAGGCCUGCGACCUUCCAGGUUCUUCUGGUCUCUCGUGGAGCGGCCUCCCGCCGCGAUCCCCGAAAUGCUUCAGCGUGCCAGCCAGUUCAUCGCCGCGGAGACAUGGAUGGUUGGGAAGCGGGAAGAGCACAAAAAGGUCAAGUCGGAGCCGCCCCGACAGCAACAGAUCCGACCCAAGGCCUCCCCUCCCCGCCUUGAAUUCGUCCCGAACGGAAAUAUUUCUCCAUGAGAAGGGGAAGGGGCUACUCAAGGACCCUCACUCGAUGAGAAACCCGCGAGAGCUCGCGGACCGUUCAAAAUAUUUCCGCUUCCAUCGGCAACAUGGACACGACAUGGAACAGUGCCGUGAGCUGAAAAGGCAAAUUGAGGAGCUCAUCCGCAGAGGGCAUCUCAGCCAGUACCUUCUGCCGGACAAAGAGCGAUCACCUCGCCCAGAGGGCCCCAUCGAGCGACACAUUGACGUAAUCGCUGGCGGUCCCGCAUCUGGGGGGGGGCUCCAUGUCGGGAAGAAAGGCGUACGCCCGGGCCGCUCCGGACGUAAUCCCGGGACACGAGCCCAACCCCGAGAUCACUUUUCCGACCGGGGUAUCCGAGCGACCCGAACACGACGACGCCCUUGUGAUAUUGGCUAGGGUAGCCAACACACAGGUGAGAAGAAUCAUGGUCGACACUAGGAGCUUAGCCGAUAUACUUUACUUCGAUGCCUUCCGGAAGCUCGGCUUGGCCAGGGAGAAUAUGAGGCUGAUGUGCUCAGCGCUCACCGGAUUCACAGGAGAUUCGAUAUCACCCCUGGGGGCUAUUACUCUGCCCUUGACCCUAGGGACCCCACCGAGGUCGAAGACGGUGAUGACCACUUUUCUGGUGGUCGACCUUCCCACUGCUUACUGUUGGGAAAUCUUUGGGGGCGACAUCACAUGCGCAGCGGAAGAACAAGAAAACAAAAUCUCCGAUUCCCAAAAAGAUGUUCAUCGUCGUGCGAAGAUUGGUGCGCAAAAUCCGCGAAACUCAAAACUGCGUAUAGAGUAGAUUGUGUUACCUAGGGAGAUCGUAUAUCCCUGUUUCCUUGCAGAUCCUUAGGAGAGGGUGAAGGAGGUCAAGCGUCCUCCUCUCUAGNNNNNNNNNNNNNNNNNNNNGGCAUUCCGUAAGCGGAUCAAUCAGUGAACUCAUUCUCCAAUGAGCACCUGUACUGUAUCCCUAGUGUCCCUACACGAGCAGCUAUGAGACCAGCUGCAUCCAUCAAAUGGACGGGUAUACAGCACACAAGUCUGUCCGGUUAUCACGAUGUCCCUCUCGAGUAACCUAUGACCGAGAUUAUUUAGGAUAUGUGUUUAAAGGUGAAUCGAUCUCAUUAUCGUGAUCUCAUCACGAUCCGAUUCCCAUUGCACAAAUCCAAGGACAUCACAAUAUAUAUAUGCACAUAUGCAAUAGUUAUAAAGUGAUAUACGCCAAAAUAUAAUAAGCAAAAAAGAUUCUAUAUCAAGUCACACGUGCCAUCACUCAUGUGAUUGGCUUGUUGGGCACCUAUGACUAACACUUACAACGCCAUACUCGGUCGGCCGACCCUCAACAAGGUCAGAACCGUCGUCUCGACCUACUACCAAAACAUCAAGUUCCCGACUCACGCUGGGGUCGGAUAAGUUACGGGAAGCCCCCGAGAGUCCAGGCGGUGCUACAUGACCACCGUUUCAUUACACAAGAGGGCCAGGAUCGAGCCACCACUGGAAGAUCCGCGGGAAACAAAAAAACUGGCCCCUCAUCCCGAGCCAAGGGGAUCCACCGUUGAUAUGCCACUACAAGAAGCUCGGCCUGACCGGACGAUCAAAGUUGGUUCGGAACUACCCGAACAGGAACGAGAGCAGCUCGUCGGUCUUCUGCGGGAAAAUGCCGACAUCUUCGCCUGGUCCCCAUCUGACAUGAUGGGCGUCGAUCCAGGGGUCGCACAGCACCACCUCAACAUCCCACCUGACGCUCGCCCGGUGAAGCAAAAACCCAGGCGGCAGGCCCCUGACCGGCAACAUGCCAUACAAGAAGAGGUGGGCCGGCUUUUAGCGGCAGGCUUCAUAGAAGAAGCCAUAUAUCCUCAAUGGCUAUCCAAUGUAGUUCUCGUGAAAAAACACAAUGGAAGCUGGAGGAUGUGCGUUGAUUACACCAGUCUCAACAAUGCGUGCCCGAAAGACUGCUACCCCCUCCCGAAUAUCGACCAGCUGGUCGAUGCAACAGCCGGACACGCACGCCUCUCUUUUAAUGGACGCCUAUUCGGGAUAAAACCAUAUCAGGAUGGCGCCCGAAGAUAGAGAGCAUACGGACUUUCUCACCGAUCAAGGGGUGUACUUCUAUAAGGUCAUGUCGUUCGGGUUGAAGAACGCCGGGGCCACAUAUUAGAGAACGGUGAAUAAGAUGUUCGCCCAUCAGAUCGGGAGGAACAUGGAAGUUUACGUGGACGACAUGAUUGUGAAAAGCCAAGAGGCCGGAGCGCACAUUACCGACCUGACCGAAGCGUUCGCCACGCUACGCAAGUUCGGUAUGCGACUUAACCCCACAAAAUGCGCCUUCGGCGUCACCUCCGGAAAAUUCCUCGGGUUCAUUAUACACGAAAGAGGAAUUGACGCCAACCCGGAGAAGGUUCAGGCAAUCAUCGAAAUGCAGUCACCCCAGACGAUCAAAGACCUGCAGCGACUUAACGGAAGGCUUGUCGCCAUGUCCUGGUUCCUCGCCCGAUCGGGCGAUCGCUGCCUCCCCUUCUUCAGGGCGCUCAAAAACCCGAAAAACUUUCAGUGGACGACAAAGUGCGAGGAAGCUUUCAAAAAAAUAAAGCAGCACCUGACCAGCCUCCCCCGACUCGCCUCUGUUUCUCCCGGGGAAAAGCUAGGCCUCUACCUAGCGGCCUCCCCACAUGCAGUCAGUUCCGUCUUGAUCAAAGAAAGCUCCGGCGAACAACUUCCGAUCUACUACGUCAGCCAUGUCCUGAACGGACCCAAGGAGCGCUACCCGCCAAUAGAGAAACUUGCGCUCGCCCUGGUGUUGUCAGCUCGGAAGUUGCACCCCUACUUCCAGGCCAACCCGGUGGAGGUCAUCACCGACCAACCUCUUCGGCAGGUCUUAUCUAAAUUUGAUGUUGCAGGGCGGCUCCUCAAAUGGGUGGUGGAGCUCGGCGAACAUGAGAUAAGAUACGUGCCCAGGACCGCUAUCAAGGCCCAGGCGGUAGCCGACUUCAUCGUGGAGUUAACGCAGAUGCAAGACGGGGAACUCGAGCAACCUCCCGAAGCCUGGAUUCUUCACAUGGAUGGCUCGGCCAACUCGAAGGGUGCCGGCGCAGGGCUGGUUCUGCUCGCCCCCGACGGACGCUCGUUUGAGCGCUCCCUCUGCUUCGGGUUUAAAGCCACUAACAACGAAGCGGAAUACGAGGCGCUCCUAGCAGGACUAAGGUUGGCCCUCGAGAUGCAGGUGCCUACUAUACGCGUCCUCACCGACUCUCAGCUUGUGUCCGAGUAGCUCAGCGUUGGAUACGAGGCUCGGGAACCAACCAUGGCGAAAUACCUGACACGGGUAAGGGACAUGACUGCCAAGUUCCUUUAUUUUACGUUGUCUAAUGUUCCGAGGGAGGAGAACGAGCGAGCCGAUGUGCUAGCUAAGCUGGCGUCGAAGCCGACCCACGAAGCAUGGCCGGAGGUCGAGGAGCUUCCUGCCCGCGCCAUUGAAGUAGCGGCUACGGCCCCCAGCAGUGCGCCAAUCAGAUGGGUACAAGAGCUGCUACGCUUCAAGCGGGAUGGGACCCUUCCCCACGACGAAGUCGCGGCCCGACGCCUGCGUCGUACACACGCGUGGUACACUGAGGAGAGUGGGCGUCUUUAUAGGCGAUCCGUCACCUACCCCCUCCUACGAUGCUUGGAGCCCGACGAGGCCCAGACGGUCCUGGCCGAGAUCCACGAGGGAGUCUGCGGAGAACACAUCGGCGGGCGAACCUUGGCACACAAAAUAAUCCGCCAAGGUUAUUACUGGCCGACCAUGUGCCGGGACGCGAAAGCUUACGCGUAGCUGUGCGGUUCGUGCCAAGAACACGCCCGCGCACCCCGACAGCCCGCGAUCCCGCUCAGCCCCAUCGCGUGCGCGUAGCUGUUCGCACAGUGGGGGUUGGACCUCCUCGGACCUUUCCCACUGGCUUCGGGGCAGCGGAAGUACAUCAUCGUGGGAGUGGAUUAUUUAAAAUGGAGAAGUUCGUGUGGAGAAACCUAGUGACUCGGUUCGGGUUGCCCAAAACCAUUAUUACGGAUAACGGACCUCAGUUCGCCGGUAGGAGGUUCCGGGAGUUCUGUGCCAAUCAUGGCAUCCAGCUAAAGUUUAGCUCGGUGGCCCACCCUCAAACGAAUGGGCUGGUAGAGGUAACCAAUCGGUCCAUCUUGGACGGACUCAAAAGAAGGGUGUCCGCAGCCCGAUUGGCCUGGACCGACGAACUCCCUAGCGUCCUAUGGUCACUGCGCACCACUCCCAAGACCGUGACUAGAGAGUUCCCGUACAGUCUGACGUUCGGAACCGAAGCUGUUUUGCCACCCGAGGUGGCUAUUCCCACCCUUCGGACGAGGAGCUAUGACGAGGAAGUCUCGAACGAGGGACUUCGGGCCAGCCUCGAUGUGCUCGAGGAGCGACGCGCCGACGCACACCUGAAUGCCCUCUCUUACAAGAGAGCCGUCGCAAGGGUAUACAACAGAAAGGUACAACCCCGACCGAUUAAGUUAGGCGACCUGGUCCUGCGAAAGACCGAGGUCAGCGACCCGACCCGAGCCAAGGGGAAGCUAGCCCCCAAAUGGGAAGGAUCUUAUCGGGUCGUCGAGGUAAUCCGACCGGGCACAUACCGACUCGCGAGAUUGGACGGUUCUUCCCUGCCAAGAACUUGGAACGUUAAGAACCUUAAGAAAUUCUUUGUUUAAAGCAAAGGAAGUCGUACAGCCAUAACGAAUUUGUUUAGGGAGUUUGCCGACUAGAGAAGUAAGGAGCCAAAUGCGUGGAAAAAUGCCUUUUUCAUUCAUUUCAAAAAACAAGCUUACAGGACCUGACCCCCACUUACAAAAUCAGGCGGAACGCCUUAGAAAACAAAAAUACAAAACCCCUUUUUCACGAGGCGUCCAGUCAGUCGUCAAAAGGGACCUCCUCGGGCAUGUCUACCCUUUGAUCCUCGGGGUAAGGAGUGAAGGGAUCCUCCUCUACCUCGAGGCCGGGGUGACGAACGCGGAAACGGGACGUGACAAUCCGGUAUCCAUACUCAAAGGAUACCCGCCCCGUCCGCGUUAGCCCAAGCUUGAACCCCUCGGACUUCUUAUACGCCUCGAGGAGCUCCUUGUCCUUGACGGGUCGAAGGCGGGCCUCCUCCGCCAAUGCUUCCGAAGUCGCUCUCGCUUCGGCCUUCGCCCCCUCCAGCUUCUUGUUGAGGGCGCUUGCCUCCGACUUCAACAGGCGGAGCUCGGCCCGCUCCAACCUUAUUGUUUUUUGGAGCUCCUCGUUUGCUUUUUUCGAGGCCUCGAGCUCCGACCCGAGGCGAGUCGCCUCCGCCUCAGACUCCGCCGCACGCCUCUCGGCGGUUGCCACAGCCUCCGGACCAACCCGGCACGGACCUCCUCGACCUGGCGGUGGAGCUCGGCAUUACGGUUGAUAAGGCCCCCGAUGAUCCGGUCGGCGUCACGCACCCUGUCCAUCAGGGCCGUCGCAUAAUGAAGGAUCUGCGGAAGGGAAGGAUAGGUUAAAAAGGGGUGGCGUCAGACGAACAAACCUAACUAAAGCAAGAGCGGAAGUACUUACCCAGAUCAAAAAUUGGGCGGACUUAUUAAGCAACGCGUUCGAGGGCAGGACGUAUAAAUCUCGAGCCAUGUCGGGAUGAAGCGCGCCACGAAGGAACGUUGCGGAGGUGUCUCCUCCGGCCCACACCCUGUCCCCUCGGGACAAACCGCCCCAGCGGGCGACCAGGGGGUCGUUGGGCCUCCCGGGUGGAACCUCCCCUACCAGCCGCAUUAGGAACGACUCCCCGUCCCCGGCUCGUAGUCAGCACAAGUCACGUACGGAGGUCGACCGCGGAUCCUUCCCAGCCGCACGCCGGCUAGGCCCAGCCUUGCCCGGACGGGGGCCCUCCUCAGCCCCCUUUGAAGGCGCCGCCUUCGCCUUCUUCCGAGGGCGCCCGGCCUCGACCUCCAGUGGGGCAUCCUUCGUGCCGGGCUGCGAGUCGGUCGGCGACGCUGGAGGAGGGGCUUGCGGCGUGUCGUUCCCGAGGAGUGACCGGAGGUUCACCAUUUCUGCAAAAGAUGAGAAAAGCGUCAGCACCAAGGAUAAACGACGCAAAUACCCGAACCCAACGUCGACUAGCGUACCCAGAGGCAUCGGGCUGAGACCCGCCUCGAUCAGCUACUCCUCGGUCAUGUUCCGGAGGGCCUGGGACCUGGGGAGAAUCUCCCUGAGCCUCCCCAGGUCGAGGCGCUCCGCUUCGCCCAAACACGGGGUGGUGUUGGCGAUCGCCCUCGCGGACCAACGAACUCCGAAACCCCAGUCCUGUGCGCGGCUGACGUAAAAAAAACCUCCCCUUCCAUCCUUUAUUAUUAGUAGGGGCCCCUCCGACUCGGAAGCCCUUCCGAGCAGAUAAAAAGUAACCCCCCGAACCCUUGGAGAGGCGAUAACAGGAAAGAAAAAGGUUGAGGGUGGGGGCGAUAUUGGCGUAGUGGUAUUCCCCCAAGAAUACCACCAAGUAACGCCAAGAGUUCGACGCCACUUGAGAUGGCGAAAUCCGCCAGAAAGACAAGCAGGACACGAUGAGGGGGUGAAGGGGGAAGCGCAAACCCGCCUCCAGGGCGUCUAGGGUUAAGGCAAAACCCUUCAGGACCGGGUCGUACGCCUGUCGUCCCAGUUCAAGCGCGCCAAGAACAUAGUCCCCCGGGAUUCCGUAACGCUCCCGAAGUCCCACCAGUGAUGACUCACUCAUAGAGGAGUCCUGGUCAUGUGGCCACAUCAAGACCUCAAGGGCCCGCGCCGCCUCCCCAUCAGAUGAUUCAACGAGGGGUGGAGGAGGAUUUCCCUCCCUAACUCCGGGGGAAUGUAUAGAAGAGGAGGAGGGAGAGGAUGCCAUCCUCACUGACCUUAACUAGGGGUGCUACGGGAAAGGAGAGUGACGCUGGAGGCGAGGAGGACGACCGGAAGAAAGACGGCAAGAACGGAAGGGGGAGACACAGCAGCGAAAGAUAGAGGUAAAAUCGGGCGUCCGCUAUUUAAAUGAGAUAUCCCGCCAGAACCGGUGCCCCUUCGCCUCCCGAGGGUGGGCGGCAGCCCACCUGCGCGCGUGCGUAACCGUCACACCGCAUCGAAAAACACCCAAAGGCGCUCUGCCUUAAUGAAAGCCUGACGUGGCAACCCCGCCGAAGCGGCAGCAUCCGGACGCCUCGAUCUCGAUGCCUGAAGACGUGCGGCGGAAGCAACCAACUCCUCCUCAGGAAAGAAAUUAAAUGCGGUAGCUUUUUGAUCCUCGCGGCCACCAAAUUUGAAGGGAGCGUCACCACACCCGCGCGGCCAGCCCGCCUGCGUCGUGCUCCUCGGCUGCAUGUUCCCCGAGACACACCUGCGCGGUCUGCCCGCCUGCGUCGUGCUCCUCGGCUGCAUGUUCCCCGAGACCACGCCUGCGCGGACUGCCCGCCUGCAUUGUGCUCCUCGGCUGCAUGUUCCCCGAGACACACCUGCGCGGUCUGCCCGCCUGCGUCAUGCUCCUCGGAUGCAUGUUCCCCGAGACCACGCCUGCGCGGUCUGCCCGCCUGCGUCGUGCUCCUCGCUGCAUGUUCCCUGAGACACACCUACGCGGUCUGCCUGCUUGCGUCGUGCUCCUCGGUUGCAUGUUCCCCGAGACCACGCCUGCGCGGACUGCCCGCCUGCGUCGUGCUCCUCGGCUCCAUGCCUCCCGGGAUACACCUGCGCGGCCAGCCCGCCUGCGUCGUGCUCCUCGGCUCCAUGACCCCCGAGUCCAACUCCGCUCGGCCGGCCCACCUGCGUCGUACCCCUCGGAUCCGCGUGGCCAGCCCACCAGAAGCCAGAAGCCAUGCAUCAGACCCCCUACAUGCAAAAACCGACGCAUAGCUCCUUUCGGGGGGGGUGGGGUAUAUGAUAGGGAUAAAAAUAGAUUUGACGUAACACACCGGAUUUGACGUAAUACACCACGACGUCAGCCACCCCUGGACGGCACACUGCCCCAGGGGGCGAGCCUUAACACCAACAUAAUGUGCUCCCUUACUCACCGUACCUAGACGACCUCAUCAUCUGACCCCGCCCGACCGGCCGAGGCAAGGGAAGGCGUCGACUGAGGCUCACCAUACCCUGCGGCAGCUCGACCUUCCACACAACGCCCACGACGACGACAGGCGCCAGGAGGUACGGCCCUGCCUCGGCAGGGUGGCACAUCAGGUAACAUCGAACUCACCUAUAAAUACUCACGGGCUCCAAACGAGCAGAGGAGGAAGAGAGACAACACAAAAACACCCUCAAACCCCCUUACAACCUUCUACUGACUUGAUCGUCGGAGGGGUCGGGCCGAACCGCCGACCCGACCUGUGUGCAGGUACUCGACUGAAGCCGAUCCAACCCAGCGUUGCGGAACUUUCCAGCCAGACCCCCGCAAUCGGCCACCCCAAGAUCCCGAGAAGAGUCACGCCUGAUCCCAGCCAUUCGGACCCCUGAACCAACCGCGUUGAUCCCGAGGUCACGGCUAAAAAAGGUACUUACCAUAACAGUAUCAGUCCUCCAUAAGUGAUUUUAAGUGAACAUUAAAUAUGUCAAUAUUUCACCCAAAGGUGAAAUAUAGAUGAUAUCAAUAGUUCAUCAUAUUUUGGAAACUCAAAGCAUUAAUAUUAUAUUAUUAUAGUGGUACUUCAUUUAUUGUAUUUUUGUAAAUGUCCCUAUACUUUCUGAAAUAAAUGGCUUGAGCAUAUGCAAAUUGUAUUGAGUGAGUGAGACCUUGAUCGGAUUAAUUGAACAGAACACAAAUUAUUGAAAUCAAUUUAAAUUUUCUGAUAAGUCAUUAGUUGAUACCUAUGAUAGUAUUUGAGAAAUUCAAGAUUAUAUCCUCAAAAUAAAUGAUAAAGCUGUAAGCUCAAGACUCAUAAUAUUUUGAGUACUACUCAAGGAGUAGAUAACACUAAAAUAAGGAUGAAGCAUAAGUCCAUUAUAAUUACUAUAUAAACUCAUAAAAGAAUAUCUUCACAAUAAAGUGUUACUUUUGUACAAAUAAAGUUACGUAAAGAAGAAAUAUACUAUAAGAUUUGAUUUGAAAUGAAAAUGGUAUACAUAUAACCUUUUUUUUAUAUGGUUCAAAUAAAAUAUUACAGAUAUUAUUGAUGAAUUAAUUUGAUGCUUUAACAUAUGUUACCAAUAAUAGAUAUUUAUUAAAAUAAAAAAAUGAAGAGAGAUAAAAUCAAAAGAGAAUGAGAUAUUUAUCAAUGUAGGGAAUCAUCUUAAAGUGAAAGCGAUAUUAGUUUGUAUUUAUCGCUUAUGUCUAAAGACGAUUCAAUUUGAUAAAUCUUGAAAAUUCUUGUGUUCUUAUAAUUAUGAGAAUUUGUGUUCGUUACCUAUAAUUAUUAGAAUAUUAUUUUCCUUUUUGGAGGUUGUAAACUUAUUAUGAUUCAAUAAAAUUAACCUUUGAAUUCUGUAUGAUAGUUUAUACAUAAUUAAUAUGAAUCAUAAGUUUAUAAUGAUCCUACAAUUAAAUAUUGAAAUGAAAUGUAGUUUUAUAAACUCCUUGAGGUUAUGUUUAUCACUCUAUGCUUUCGUCUCGUUAAAAAGACAUUUUAUCACCAUAUAAAUAAUCCGUUAAGAUAUGAUUAUAUAUAUCUAAUUCAUGUAAAGUCUAUGACCGUUUACACUUUUAAAGUAUAUAUAAAUGAAGUUGAUAGACAAUUAGAUAGAAAAGUCAAGAUUAUCAUAUCUGACAAGGGUGAUAAAUUUUAUGGUAUUUAUGAUAAACCCAAUUAUAAUUCUUUUGCUAGAUUCUUGGAAAAAUAAGAUAUAUGAUUUACCAAAUAUGUUAUAGCAGAAUAUGGUUGCUGAAAGGUAUCAUCGUACCUUAUAGAUAUGAUUAUGAGCAAUGAUAAGUUAUUCUUUUGUAUUUAAAUCAUUGUGAGAAAAAGCUCCAAGGACAAUUAUUGAUAUCUUGAAUGAUAUUCCUAGUAAGUAAAUUACAUGACUUCUUUUAAGUUAUGAAAUGAUAGGAAACCUAACUUAAGAUAUUUACAUAUUUGAGAUUGUCCUAUGGAGAUAAGGAUCUUCAACUCAUAUAAAAGAAAAUUAAAUUUAAUAAUUAUUUUUGCAUAUUUUAUUAUCUAUUCAGAAAAGUUUAAAGGGGUACAUAUCUUAUUGCUCUAAUCAUAGUACGAGGACAAUUAAAUCUGGUAAUGUAAGAUUCCUAUAAAAUAGCAAAUCAAUGGAGUGAAAAUCUCAAAAUUUAAUUUUGAUAUAAAGGAGAUAUAAAUUGAUACUCAUUUAUUAUUCGAGAGAUUGUUGUUACUCAAAUCAUUAAAUGAUUUGUUAAAAGUGAACAACAAAAUAACAUUACUAAACUCCCAUAUUACAUUGAUAUCAUUAUUAAUGGUCUUGUAGAACAAUCAUAAUUGACAACUUUGAGAAUAUCUGAAAGGGGAAGGAAUCAUGUCAUUUAUGAUUAUUAUGUUGCAUAUCUACAAGAAUUAUAUUAUGAUAUAGGAAUCAGAAUGGUUCCCUUAUUUUUGUCAUAUGUCAUGAAAAGUAAUGAUUCUGAAAAGUAAUAUGAUGUAAUAAAAAAAAGAGUUAAAAUCAAUAACCAGAAUAGUGUCUGAUAAAUUUAUCGAAUUGUCUAAUAAUUGUAAAAGAGUCUAUUAUAUAAAUGUGACUCAACUCAAAGGACAAUGUCGAACGAUAUAAUGGUCAGGCUUGUGAUUAAAAGUUUUACUCAUAAAGAAUGUAUCGAUUAUAACGAGAUUUUUAAUGAACUCAUUAAGAAUUAUCAUGAUAUUAGUGACUCAUUAUGAGUUUGAGUUAUAUCAUAAUGAUAUGAAAAUAUUUUUUUUUUAAAGAUCUAGCUUUAUAUGGGUUACUAUUUACAAAGAAAAUAAAAGAAAUAUAAAGUUUGAUAUGCAAAUUCAAGAAUCCAUUUAUGACCUUAAACAAGUUUUAAGAUAAUGAUAUAUAAAGGUUUUUAAUAUCAUUAUUUUCAUAUUUAAGAUAAAUACUAUUAAUCAGUAUUUAUUUCAGUGGGAGCAAGUUUAUUAUAUUGGUCUUAUAUAAGGAUAAUAUUUUGUCUUACUAAUAGUGAUCUUGAUUUAUUAUACUAAAUCAAGAAAUUUGUCACUAAGAGUUUUAAUAUAGUUGAUAUGAAUAAGACAUCUUAUAUUAUUAACAUUGAGUAAUUCAAGGAUAGACCUCAAUGAUUAUAAAGAUUGUCUUAGAAAGGAUAUAUCAACCGAGUCUUGAAAAGAUUUAAUGUCCAGUUUUGUUCAGUAACUCAUAAAAGCAAAAUUCUAGUCAAUAAUAAAUGCUUGAAAAUGACUUGAAAAGAAUUAGAUAAAGAAGAUAUUCUUUGUAUAUGCGCAGUUGGAAGUCUAUGCUAAAGCUUGUGUUAGAAAAGAUAUCAGUUUUUUACAGUUAAAAUAUUGGGUAUAUAUUGGAGUUAUCCAGAAGUAAAAACACUAAAGGACUACAGAGAAAAUAUAUCCGGAAGGGACAGAGGAUUAUAUGCUCACAUGUAUGAAAUUAUAUUAGCUUGAAAUAAUGAUAUUUUUCAAAUGCUAAUUGUAUAAAUUACCUCGAUAAUAGGAAGUCCACCUUAGAGUUAAUAUCUAUAUCAAUUAGAGGGGUAAUUUAUUAUUAUUAAUAAUAGAAGUUGAUUUUGUGGUAUGCUUUGAGGCCACUAAUCAAAUUUUUGGACUACAAAAUUUUUAUCUCAGACUUGGUGUAGUUAGACUCAAUUACCAAGUCGUUGAAGAUAUUUUAUGACAUUGCAGUAGUUUUCUUCUCUAAGAAUGACAAGUACUAUUGCAUCUAUAUGCAUUAUGAUAUAAAGUACUUUAUGGUUAGAUAAUAUGAGUCCAAAAACAUCCAAUGUCAAUUAAUUACUUGAGUUCCAUUAUAUUGAUUGCUGAUCCAUUCACUUAGGACUUACGGUCUAAAGUAUUUUGAAAGAACAUAUUCUUAUGAUUGGGUUUGUGAGCAACCCAUAAAGGAUAUGGUGAUUCAUGUUUGAGUGGAUACUAUAAUUGACAUUCUUGAUUAUAUACUUAAAGUUAUUUGUUUCUACUAUCCUGUUCACAAUUAUGUAUGUACAUAUUAUGGUUGAAUGUGAUGACAGGAUUGUCUUGACAAGACAAAUUAUAUGGGUCAUUUUGGAUUGCAUUAAGAAAGACUAACAAUAUUAUAGUACAUAGAAGGAAGUGUGACACUAAUAGCAUACAACCGCUAUGACUCAUAUUAUUAGUUAGACUUAAUGUAGCAUUAUUAUAAUUAUUGAACUUAUUGGCCUAUUUUAAAAUUUGCGCACGUGUAUAUAGUUUUUUUCUAAAAUUUCAGAAUCCAAUUGAGUCAAAUUAUUUUUAAAUAAAUUUUAUUUAUUUAUUUUUGAUUUUUAAGUCUUUUGUAUCUUAUCAAUUAUUGGGUCAAGUGAGAGAAUAUUAGAUUAUAUGGUCCUAUUUAAUUAGGUAAGAUAUAUUAUAGAUAUGAUUGGAUUCUGAUUAUGGUUAUUGGUCAAUAGAAAAAAAAUUCAAUUAAAGUAGGAUUCCUUAUGAGAUAACCUUGAUGGGAGGAACUCUCCUAAUAACUUAUCCUAGACCCUCUGGUCUCGUCUAUAAAUAGACUGGACCUCUAGGGGUUAAGUGUGUAUUUGAUAGACAGGACCUCUAAGGGUCAUGUACAUAUCUGAGUAUAACAAUUAAGAGAUUAAAAUUUUUCUCUCAAUCUUCCUCUUUCCUCCUUGAUCGAUCAAUUUAGGUGGUUAUGUGAAACGAUAGAAAGAGAGGAGAAGGAUUUAGUUCUCUUUGGAUGGGACGCUCGUGAUUAAAUAAAGUUUAUUUUUUUAAAUAAUAAAAAAUAUGUAUCGUAAUAUAUAUAUUAGAUCUAAUAAAAAUUGAUUUCAAUAUUGACAUAAAUUUUUUUCGCAUUACAGAUGUCAUGAAUAUUGAUUUUAUGCUUACACUGCUGCCUUCGUGACGCGCUACUCGUGUGGGUCGUCUCCUCCACAGGAUGGGCGAUCCAUCCAGUAGCUUCCCCGUUUUAUCUGACGCUGACACGUUUCUUUUCAUCCACGUGGUGUUUCCUCGUCCGUCGUCAUCCUCCCGUGCUGUCCCAUCACGCGCAUUCCCCAACUGCUCACAUGUCUCAGAGGAUCAUCAUAUAAAAAGAAUACCGCGUCCUGCCCCUAACCUCGCUUGUCCUACCCAUGUUAGCCGCUGCGGCCCAUUUUCUACCUUCUUGUUGAUUGGAAACAUGUGGUGAGGGCCACAAUGCUCCCUCCAAUUAUAGAUGGGUGCCUUGCGGAGAAACGUUGGAGUGGCAGUCAAAGAAAUACUCGCUUUAAUUCCUUUCUUUUAAUUCUCUUUCCCUUCGCCUGUUCUUUCGUUUUCUUUCGGUCUCCUCUGCGUCACUCGAAUUCCUUUCCAUCAAGGGCACUCUCUUCACCUAUUUACGAUCUCGUUUCUCUCUUGCAUCUUUCGUUUUGGAUACGAUUGUGCUUUCCUUUGGAUUCUUUUGGGUUGAUUGCAUCCAGAGACCCCCCCGUUUUUCAUCCCUCUGGAUUGGGAAUUUAGGAUUCUUGGGCCGGGAAGUAGGGCUCCUCCUUGUAGUUAUUGGAGUUUGGUGGAAAUGUUGGGGAGUAGCGUGCAGUUGGGACGCGGGCAUGGGGAGGAUCGCGUCUGCUACGCCGAUAAGGCACGGUGGAGCCGCCACAGCCACCAACGGCACUACCAGCAGAGUCCAUGGAGGUCUUCAAGCACCUCCGCCGCCGGAACUUACCCCGCCCCUUCCUUUGCUUCUGGGAGCUCCGCAGAGGCUGUUGUGUCGGUCUCCGGCACCCGUGAGCAGGAGAACCGAGCAGGAACAGAGGAAGAUUGUCCGAAGACCGGGAUCGCGUCCGUUUCAU